rnacentral:rRNA from 1 species
UACGUAGGGUGCGAGCGUUAAUCGGAUUUACUGGGCGUAAAGUGUGCGCAGGCGGCUCUGCAAGUCGAGUGUGAAAUCCCCGAGCUUAACUUGGGAAUUGCGCUCGAAACUACGGAGCUGGAGUGUGGCAGAGGAAGGUGGAAUUCCACGUGUAGCGGUGAAAUGCGUAGAUAUGUGGAGGAACACCGAUGGCGAAGGCAGCCUUCUGGGCCAACACUGACGCUCAUGCACGAAAGCGUGGGGAGCAAACAGG